GGCCAAUAUUUUAUAAAUAAAACACAUUUCUCUACAAAAGAACCACAAUUUUUUCGCAUUUGUCAAAAACCCUUCUGGAUACAGAUCUCC